AUGCCUCUAUUGGACAGGCCUGGAGUAGUUACUCUCUGCUAAGGUUUCCACUACAUACAGAUGCAAGAAAAAUAUGUCCUCAAGCUUUCUGUCUGUCUUGCUGUGGCAGCCCAGAUUGAAUGGGAGAAUGCAUGG
ensembl:snoRNA